rnacentral:misc_RNA from 1 species
CCGAGCGUGACCCCCCCGUCAAUGUAUAGGGGGGUGCCUCCCGUCCUUUGCGGGCCCCUAGGGGCUUUCACACUUUGCUUCGGCGGGCUGCCCGCCGGAACACCCUCAAGAAAAUCUCGAAUAAACCGUUCUGUCCGAUGGUUGCGAUAAUAAACA